rnacentral:sRNA from 1 species
CACCCCCCUCCUCUCCACAGCUCAUGGCUGCCCUUUACUUCUCCCCUCUUCUACUCUUCUUCUCUCAUUAAAACUCUCCACGAGGAACCACGUUGGCUUGGUGUGGUCUGUCCGGAUGCGAGCCGAGAUUUAAACCCCAACAAUUAUAGUCUUCUGAGGAUAGCUCACAGUUGGUGCCACGUGUUUUUUUACUUGUAGAAGAAAUAAAGCAAGUUGUGAGAAUGAACGGGAAAAAAUAUUCACUCCUGAGGCAAGUGUGAGAGCUAGAAGUGGAGUGGGUGGGGAGGUGCUGAGGUAGGAGAAUGGAGAGCUCCACGCCACCUCGGUUACAAAGCUACAUCCUGUCAUAAGCAGAAAAAUGAAGCCGGAGUCAACAAGCAAACAAAUCGGAUUCCUGCCCACCUUUGAUGCAGAAGCUUAUUUUUUUUUUCUUAGUCUUUUACCUUAGACAGCAAUUCUAGAAACUUCUUUACUCAGUGGUCUCUGCCUUAGCGUGUUUGGCAAAGGUACCCUCAAUGACCGUGUCUUGUGGCACAUUGCCGUUCUGCCAGCUUCCCUCGCUGGGACUCAGACAAAGGACACAGAGUGGCCCUACAGCUCUGAAAAUAGAAGUCCUGAGGCCUCCCAUGACCACCCUCUCCUCGAGGUGCCUGCCCUUUCUCAUAUGCAGAUGAGACUCUCCGCAAUCAGAAACAAAGAAUCCCCCUGAGAGGAAGGUACCCAUCUACAGAACUCCAACUCAUCCCCAGACUUAGGCUCUGCUCACUGAGAUGAAAUGUAUGGCCAACCUGUGACCUGAUUGUCUCUUAAAAAAGAAAGAAAAGUAAAUAAACGAGCAAUCAAUGUCUAAUCUCCUCAGAUGCCCAGCGGGAUGUGGAACUCAGGUGUUUGGCUGCACACUUCCUCCUGUUAGUUCAAAGGAACCUGACUAAUGUCAACAUUUGCUUGCUGAACUCUUUUGAAAAGUUAUCUUUGUCCUUAUUUGCCUCUCAAGGUUUUGCUGUGUGGGAACCACCGCAUGCAGGGCCUGAAUUCUUAACUGUUCAUCUGUGAGAUCCUGCACACCUGUGUUCCCUCAAGAUCGGCUUACCUCCCGUGGGUGAACACGCCUUCGAGCUCCCGGUGAUGAAGCCAAUGACAGUAUUGUUUACGUGGCUGCUGGUCACCUCAUCUGUAACCCUGGAAAAGCGGUCUCCUUCCCUGGAGGCAGCAGACGAGUCACGUAAAAGUCCGCACAGAGCAAGAAACCCCUGCUUGGACUCCAUCACUUUGUCUGGAACAACCCGUGUCGUUUCAGAAGUUGUGCUCAAGACCCAAGCCCUGUACAAGGAUUUGAUGACUCUCCUCUGGGAAUCCGAGUUUCCAUCCCACACAUAGCAGAACUUUGGAA